CAUGCAAGUCGCACGAGAAAUCCUGAGCAAUCGGGAGAGUAAAGUGGCGCACGGGUGAGUAACGCGUGGGUAACCUACCCUUGAGUUAGGGAUAACUCCGCGAAAGCGGGGCUAAUACCAAAUAAGGUACUAUGCUCUUCGGAGCGUGGGACCAAAGGUGGCCUCUGCAUGCAAGCUACUGCUCAGGGAUGGGCCCGCGUACCAUUAGCUCGUUGGUAGGGUAAUGGCCUACCAAGGCUGCGAUGGUUAGCUGGUCUGAGAGGAUGGCCAGCCACACUGGAACUGAGAUACGGUCCAGACUCCUACGGGAGGCAGCAGUGGGGAAUCUUGCGCAAUGGGGGAAACCCUGACGCAGCAACGCCGCGUGGGUGAUGAAGGCUUUCGGGUCGUAAAGCCCUGUCAGGUGGGAAGAAACUUAUGGAUGUUAAUACCAUCCAUACUGACGG
rnacentral:rRNA from 1 species